CUUGAACCCAAUGAGGAUCCUGACAUGCCUCCUUGUAAGACUGAGAUUCUGAAAAAGAGUGAAUAGCAGACAAAAAAGUACGAUAGGAAGUAGAAAAACACGUAUUAGACCAACCCAACCUGUUUGAAGGAUGAUGCGCUCGAGUAGGAUAUCGGUGUUCAGCAAGAUCGGUGUCGUCAGAAGCAGGAGGGGUAGAGACAACCGGUGGAGGAGAAACCUUAUGACGAGAAUAAACUAAUAAUAGAGGAGGAGAAGAAGCCUAAGGAGGAGAAGCAACUAGAGGUGAAUUAGGAGGAGAAGACAGAACAAGCUCAGGAGGAAUAGUGGAGAUGUAUUCAUCAGACGAGACCUCCGAAGGAAAUGGAUCAAUGAGAACCAAAUCCUAUUUGGAAACUGGAGCAAUGAGAGGGGGAAGCUGCAAGUAAGUCUAACGUUCAAGAAAGGCAACAUGACAGGAGACAUAAAGGCGACGAGUGACAGGAUCAUAGCAGCGGUAGCCUUUCUAAGUAAGACUGUAACUCAAAAAGACACACAAGACAGACCGGGCGCUAAGUUUGGUCCUAUCUUUUACGAGGAAGGAGGACAAAACAAGCAGACCCAAAGACACGCAGGAGGGAUAAUUGGGAGGUUGGGAAUACAGAGCCUCAUAAGGGGAUUGGCUGGCGAGUAAAGGAGUCGGCAUGCGAUUAAGGAGGAAAGCAGCUGUAAGAACUGCCUCACCCCAAAAUGGUGCCGAAACAGUGGCAAGGAGAAGAAGAGAUCAAGCUGUCUCAAGGAGAUAACGGUGUUUACACUCAGUACGACCAUUUUGGGCAGGUGUAUCAGUACAGGAGGUUUGGUGAAUGGUGCCCAAUUUAGUUAAAUACUCACAUAAUUCAGUUUUAAAUUAUUCCCCACCCAAGUCAGACCGGAGUAUUUUAAUUGUGGCCCCAAACUGUGUAGUGAUCAUUGAUUGAAAGGUACAAUAUAUCUGGUAGAAGUCAAAUUUAUGAGCCAUAAGAUAAACUUAGAUAUAACGGGUACAAUCAUCAACAAAUGACAUAUAAUACGCAGAACCCCCUUUAGUGAGAACAGGAAAAGGUCCCCAGACAUCAAUAUGUACAAGAGAAAAAGGGGAAGCAGAAAUAGAAGUACUGUUAUUAAAGGGCAAAGCUGUCAUUUUAGUAAGUUUACACCCUCGACACUCAUUAAUUUGACUAGGAGAAACUUUACCUAACAAUCCUGACUGAGCUAAAGACCGCAAGCGGUCAACAGACAAAUGACCUAAGCGAGAAUGCCAUAAAUAAAACUGAAGUAAGGAAAGGUGAGGAGUCAUAUGAUGAGAGGCACCAGAAUCAAAAAGCCACACAGAUGAAGGGAUACCUGAAGAGGAUCCAAGCAAACCUGAAUGAGGAGAGGUGAGAGCAGAGGCAGAUGAAGA